AGAGACACUCUAUAGCUAUGAAAAACUAUUUAAUUGAUGUAAGGAGAGCACAAAUUUUUAUAAAUUCAUCAGAUUAUAUAACCAUAAUUUAUUUCCUAUACAUGCAAAAGGUGGAAAAGAUGACUAAAAUUAUCAAAUUUGUUUAUAUUUUAAUUAUCUCUUUUUCUCUAUUCCUUGGUGCAAUGAGUGUUAAAACGCGUGGUAUUCCAUGUUAUAAUAAAGACGAGGAUUGUCCUAAAAAUAUGUGUAUAUACGAUGAUAAGACAAUGUGUUAUUUAGGCUUUUGUAAAUGUUUAAGUCAAAUAUAUGAUGAUUGAUAUGAGCUCUAGAUGCAAGAGAGUACAAUUAGAAUAUUUUAUGACUUGUUAUUUUGCUAUUGUUUUGACAUUUAAUAAAUUAGUUUUAAGUGUUUCUAAUUUAAAUGCACCUUCCAGUGAUAACUGUGUAAUAAAAGAUGUUAAUGAAUUAAAAUAUAACAUCAAAUAAUAAUAUAUAGUUUUUCUCUUC